rnacentral:lncRNA from 1 species
GUUUGUUUCUUUCUACGUGAUUUCUUUAGAAUUUGGAAACUAUUUGUGAGUAUUCUAAAGUUAUGGCAAUAUAGUUGUUUGCAUAAGUGCAAUAAGAAUCUGUUUCCUUUUGCAACAGGACACAAUUGGAGAGACUGAUUAUUUUACCAAGGCUUUGACUAGAAUGGUGUGCUUUCCUUUAAGGAAUCAAAUUUGACUUACAGAGCCAAUAAAAGCCCCUUGGGAACACUGCCCUCAUAGCUUGUCUACACAGUUCUUGUACAGGGUUCUUGACUUGUGGUAAGUAGAGAAUGUCACUUUCUGACAGGUCCAGGAGCCUCAAGUUAUCUUGGGACCUCUAGAGGAGAGGAAUUUACCCAACUCAUGCAGUGAUCUCUGGCUGCAGCUCAGAAGAAACAAGAGGGAUGGGCCAUCAAGCUCCAGAUGAUCCUCAGUGAGGAAUACCAUCCUCUCAAUAUUCAGGAGUCACCCUUCUACAGAGGACCCCUAGAAUGCUGAUCAGUGGGACACAACAGAGGUGAAAUUCUGCCCCUGCCUCCCUUGGACCUGGCUGAAUACUGCUUUCACCAACCCAUGGAGCCACCCUGCCCUGACAGCUAGCAAGAGGCCAAGACUCACAGAACAACCACCACUGCCCAUCUGUCAGCAGGAGGUAGCUAUAAAAGACUGAUCUUUGUCCAUUUUCCCCAAAGAAUUGGGAGUUUUGGAUGAACUCUUGAUGGGGGAAGUGUUUACAGUAGGUAGUCAGGUAGACAUGAACAGGAUAGGAGAGGCCCCCCAACCAGGAAUGUCAGGAGACCAUCAGGUGAUGGUCAGACAGUUGUUAUACUGUCUCUCUAAAAUAAUAAUUGGUCACAGCUGAUGCCAGGGAAAGGCUGUCUCCCAAUAGAUAGAAACACCUGAAGCUAGUGAUCAGCAGCUUCUUGAUAAGAUCUCAGGAGUUGGGUGAGUGGGCUCAAGCAUGCACAUCAAGAGGCAAAAUGUUGGAGUUUAGUAUAUGACCUUCUUCUAGGAACACUUGACUGGUAAAGGAAGAAUGCUUCAAGUGAGCCUGUGUACAACUCCAGUAAACACACUGUGCAUGCAGCCCCCUCCCAAGUGCUGGCAGGCCACUGUGCAUGCAGACAGCCCACCCCAAGGUAAGAAUCAGGGGAGAAGUAACACAACCCCGGAAGCCUGGCAACAUAUAAGACACCAAGUCAAAGGUCAAACUGGGCACUUGAUCUCUCAAGUCACCUGCUUGGCCCUCUUCUAAGUGCAUUUACUUUCUUUCAUUCCUGCACUAAAGCUUUUUAACAAACUUUCACUCCUGUUCAAGAAGUUCCCCCAGUUUCUCACUCUGCCUUGUGCCCCUCAGUCAAAUUCUUUCUUCUGAAGAGGCAAAAACUGAAGUUGCUGCAGACCCAUAUGGAUUUGCUGUUGCUAACAUACUUUGGUGCAAUGUAACUCAUAUGUUCCCUAGUGGUAACAUCUUUAGGUCUCAGAUCCUGAUAGGGACCAGAAAGCUCUGGAAUUCUCUCUGCAACAAAAGAUUACAUCAGGGACAGAACUCAUUCCCAGCUGAAGAGUGACUCAAUUAUUAGGUCGGUGCAAAUGUAAUUGCAGUUUUUGCAUUGUUGAAAUUUGCCGUUUGAUAUUGGAAUACAUUCUUAAAUAAAUAUGCUUAUGUUGGCCGGGCACGGUGGCUCACGCCUGUAAUCCCAGCACUUUGGGAGGCCAAGGCAGGUGGAUCACAAGGUCAGGGGAUAGAGACCAUCCUGGCUAACAUGGUGAAACCCCAUCUGUACUAAAAAUACAAAACAAAAUUAGCCGGGUGUGGUGGCAGGUCCCUGUAGUCCCAGCUACUCAGGAGGCUGAGGCAGGAGAAUGGCAUGAACCCAGGAGGCGGAGCUUGCAGUGAGCCAAGAUCACACCAUUGCACUCCAGCCUGGGCGACAGAGUGCGACUCCGUCUCAAAAAAAAAAAAAAAAAAGAAAAGAAAAAAAUAUAUAUGCGCUUAUGUUAUAUAUCAUUUUAAUGUGCAUUUCUUGCUUUGCAUUUUUUUUGCUAAGGACUUGUUACUUGCUGUUUAUUUUAUACUUAUUUUAGACUAUGGAAAUGGUGUUAGACAAAAAGCAAAUUUGAGUGAUUUUCUUAUUUGAGUUCAAAAUGGGUUGUAAAGCAGUGCAGACAACUCACAUCAUCAGCAAUGCAUUUGGCCCAGGAGCUGCUAACAAAUAUACAGUGCAGUGGUGGUUCAAGAAGUUUUGCAAAGGAGACGAGAGCCUUGAAGAUGAGGAGUGUAGUGGCCGGCCAUUGGAAGUUGAUGACAAAUUGAGAGCAAUUAUCCAAGCUGAUCCUCUUACAACUGCUCUAGAAGUUGCUGACCAUUCUACGUUCAGCAUUUGAAGCAAAUUGGAAAGAUGAAAAAGCUCAAUAAAUGGGUGCCUCAUGAGCUGACUCAAAGUCAAAAAAAUUAUUGUUUUAAAGUGUCGUCUUCUCUUAUUCUAUGCAACAACAGUGAACCACUAUCCAGUUGAAUCGUGAUGUGCAAUGAAAAGUGAAUUUUAUAUGACAACCAGCAAUGACCAGCUCAGUGGUUGGACUGAGAAGAAGCUCCAAAGCACUUACCAUAGCCAAACUUGCACCAAAAAAAGGCCAUGGUCACUGUUUGGUGGUCUGCUGGUCUGAUCCACUACAGCUUUCUGAAUCCUGGCAAAACCAUUACUUCUGAGAAGAAUGCUCAGCAAAUUGAUGAGAUGCACUGAAAACUGCAACACCUGCAGCAGGCAUCGGUCAACAGAAAAGGCCCAGUUUUCCAUGACAAUGUCCAACCACUCAUUGCACAACCAACAUUUCAGAAGUUGAAUUAAUUGGGCUUUGAAGUUUUGCCUCAUCUGUCAUAUUCACCUGACCUCUCACCAACUGACUACCACUUCUUCAAGUAUCUCGACAACUUUUUGCAGGGAAAACACUUCCACAACCAGCAGGAUGCAGAAAAUGCUUUCCAAGAGUUUGCUGAAUCCUGAAGCAUGGAUUUUUAUGCUACAGGAAUAAAUAAACUUAUUUCUCAUUGGCAAAAAUGUGUUGAUUGUAAUGGUUCCUGUUUUUAUUACUAAAGAUGUGUUUGAGCCUAG